rnacentral:rRNA from 1 species
GACGAACGCUGGCGGCGUGCUUAACACAUGCAAGUCGAACGGAAAGGCCCUGCUUUUGUGGGGUGCUCGAGUGGCGAACGGGUGAGUAACACGUGAGUAACCUGCCCUUGACUUUGGGAUAACUUCAGGAAACUGGGGCUAAUACCGGAUAGGAGCUCCUGCUGCAUGGUGGGGGUUGGAAAGUUUCGGCGGUUGGGGAUGGACUCGCGGCUUAUCAGCUUGUUGGUGGGGUAGUGGCUUACCAAGGCUUUGACGGGUAGCCGGCCUGAGAGGGUGACCGGCCACCUUGGGCCUGAGAUACGGCCCAGACUCCUACGGGAGGCAGCAGUGGGAAAUAUUGCACAAUGGGGGGAAGCCUGAUGCAGCAACGCCGCGUGCGGGAUGACGGCCUUCGGGUUGUAAACCGCUUUCGCCUGUGACGAAGCGUGAGUGACGGUAAUGGGUAAAGAAGCACCGGCUAACUACGUG